CUCGCCUCGUCGGCUGCAGCUAGACCCUCUCUCACGUUCGGAACUCAAACAGACGGAGGGGACUUCCGACACUGACGAAAGGGGGUUUUCCGACCAGCGGAAUGCGAGUCGCCUCGUUAGAGCGCCCGUCUACCAUGCCGGAACUUUCGCCAGUUUGAAGCCUGUGUUUUACUCUGGAAAGCUUUUAGAAAUGAAGACAAGUGGACUUUUGGACUCGCUCAUGAAGGCAGUCUGUGUGUCGGGAAUGCUGUACCGUGACCUGAGGACUUUCCCAUCUCUUCAAAUGCGGCGUUGAACCCCACAUCCUACUGCCAUCUCGCAGCUGACCACCAUCGCCACCUUCAUGAUUUUAACGAUUGUGCUCAUCUGUCCCUGUAACAGUCAAACAAGAUUCAAGUUAUCUGUGAUUUGUGCUCAAUACUGCAUGUAAAUGUGGAGGUAGUUGCACAUGUGUUAACUCGCUGUUUAUUCAACUCAAAUUUUCCUGAAUUCAUCAACAGUACUAAUGGACAAAUAAAAUAUAUAUUCUGUCUAGGUA